rnacentral:rRNA from 1 species
UACGUAGGGGGCAAGCGUUGUCCGGAUUUAUUGGGCGUAAAGAGCGUGUAGGCGGCCAGACAGGUCCGUUGUGAAAACUCGAGGCUCAACCUCGAGACGCCGAUGGAAACCGUCUGGCUAGAGUCCGGAAGAGGAGAGUGGAAUUCCUGGUGUAGCGGUGAAAUGCGCAGAUAUCAGGAGGAACACCCGGUGGCGUAAAGGGCGG